rnacentral:rRNA from 1 species
AGUGAACGCUGGCGGUAGGCCUAACACAUGCAAGUCGAACGGCAGCACAGUAAGAGCUUGCUCUUACGGGUGGCGAGUGGCGGACGGGUGAGGAAUACAUCGGAAUCUACUUUUUCGUGGGGGAUAACGUAGGGAAACUUACGCUAAUACCGCAUACGACCUACGGGUGAAAGCAGGGGAUCUUCUGACCUUGCGCGAUUGAAUGAGCCGAUGUCGGAUUAGCUAGUUGGCGGGGUAAAGGCCCACCAAGGCGACGAUCCGUAGCUGGUCUGAGAGGAUGAUCUGCCACACUGGAACUGAGACACGGUCCAGACUCCUACGGGAGGCAGCAGUGGGGAAUAUUGGACAAUGGGCGCAAGCCUGAUCCAGCCAUACCGCGUGGGUGAAGAAGGCCUUCGGGUUGUAAAGCCCUUUUGUUGGGAAAGAAAAGCAGCAGGUUAAUACCCCGCUGUUCUGACGGUACCCAAAGAAUAAGCACCGGCUAACUUCGUG